AUGGACGAACCUCUGCAUUUAAACCGCGUAUUCAUCCACAGGAUUAGACAAAUAAAUGCAAAAAAUUCAAUGGUCAGCUCUAACGAAACGAAAAAUUGUAUGACACUGCUAAAGAUCGAAGUCCUUUUUAAGGGAGUAAUUUUCCUCGCGGACGAGUUCAUCAACUGAGAUCUGAAUUCUGAAUGCGUUGCUAAAACCCCAAGUGAUAAGUGGUCAUUACCGCAGUCCAGUCCUCAAGAUAAGUAUCAUUGUGCACUGUGGCAGCCAAGUAUUAGGGGUUGGUUUUUCAAAAUACUUAUGAUUUAUUUAUUAAUCAGUGCAGGGUUUUUCGGGAUGUAGCUUUAACCUUACUUUUUUGAAAUAUGAAAUGGAUAUAUGGGAAUGGACGCAAAAUUGCGUUUUUUUUUGUAAUUCAUUCAUUGCAAGCAAUUGAUAUUUGUUACUGGAAUUAUUAUCGAUGUUUUAUUACUAUCAUUGAACCACCAGAGCCCUUGCAAAGACUAACCAGAUGAAAAAGAAGAGACAUGCUAGCAGUAGCUACAAGAAAACAGAGAAAAAAAAUGGGAAAUAGGUGCAGAAUACAGUGCUAAGUCAUUUUUCAUCUAUAAAUAAGUAUUCUUGGGGACGCUAAGGCAAAUCGUGAACUGCUCUUGAACAGACAUGGAGGUUGAAGUUGGGCCACAUCUUCCCGAGAACUUCACCUAGAACUCCGAGGGAGUUGGUAAGUUGGUAGCAGGUAUGGGUAAGUACAAGAAUUUUAGUUGAAAAUCUUGAUGUCGUUGUGUGACGUUAAGAUGCUCAGCAACUGUUUUCUAAAAACAUAUAGUUCUUUUUAACCGACGGCUUAUUUUCUUGUAAUAGGAACAUAUGGAAACUUAUCUGAAUAUCCUUGACUAAAGAUAUCUGGGGUACCUUAUCUUUCUACCAUUCCUUUGUUCGUAAUUCCAGAGAAACCGUAUGCCGCUGUGAAAAUUCUGCGAUCUCGUAACGCAAGGGUUUGAGCUGUAUCAAGUCCUUUAUGAUUAUUAUUUUUUAUUUUAGAUUAUUUGUGUAGAGGGUAAAAUGUUCUAUUCCAUUGACUUUUUGCAGAUUGUUUCUAAGUCCUGUUUAUCGAGUUAGAAGUGAUUAUAUACUGCAAUGAAAGGGAAUCGGACAGAUCAGCUUAGUACGGUUCGUCGGUAUUUAUAUUUUGUACAUACAGAUAUGUGUAAUUUUUUUUUAACCUGAUGUGCAUUUGUGAUGUUUGAUCAUAAACAUGGGGUUAAAAAAACCCCUCGAAUAUUUUGAUUUUUAGUGUGUAUUUUCAGAUUCUUAAAAUUCGAAUUAUUCGAGAUUCCUACGAGAACAAUGAUGGAAGAAUUGAGAUUUGUUUGGAGUGUGGUAACAUGAAUUAAAAGAUGGUGAAACGAUUAUUAUUAUUUUUUAAAUAAUUCGUUAUAUUUAUAAUAGUACCAUUUUCACCGGUCAUAAUUCGUUUUAUUAGGUUUUACCCUGUUUGAAAAACGAUUUGGCCUCUUGUAGGGGAAAAUGGAAAUGAAUACUCGUGCACACUUGACUCUUCAAAAGCGUUUAUUGGUAAUGGGAAUCGAUUGGUGAUAAACGGUAUUCAUUUUGUUUACUAUUACGUUUGAUCUAAGAUACCAGUCAAUAUGAUUUAUUUUAAUAUUUGACAAUUUCUUGUUUUGUGUAAAAUGCGGGAGUUUCCUGCAAUCGAAUUGCUUUAGUAUAUUUUCAGAUUCUUUCGAAGAUACUAAUUACUCAUUCAUCUAAUGGUAACAUGAGCUCAACAUUUAUUUCUACUAGCGAUAAGAGAACUGAAGGCCUGCCGAAAAUUUGGCGUCGUUCGAAGUAUGAAUUGAUAUAAUUAUUGGUAUUCCUUUUUACAAAAAUAAAUUAUUGGUAUUCUUUUUUACAAUGGUACGUUUUAGAAAUGUUUCACUCAUGAUUUUAGAAUGUAGGAUUUGGAUGGUAUAUUUUCAUAUUAGAUAUAAAUUUGGAUAUUUUAGAAUUCUCAAUUUUUUUAUAGCACUUUUGGCUUGCUUUAAGGUUUGUUACAAUAUUAAUCAAUUUAAAAUUUAGUUUUCCUUAAGCAUCAUGUGUAUAUAUCGUUUCUUGAUGUGCAAUUUUGUAUAGGUUCGUACAUGAAGAUAGAGCAUGAAGUUUUUACACCGAAAUUUGAUUAAAAAAAUAAAUUUAACUGCAUUGCAUGCCAGGCAAGUGUUUUAUUUUCAUUUUGUUACUACUCCUAUUAUGCAAUACACUAUUAUAAUAAAAUUUGUUUUCUUAGUACUGUUUUGCUUAGUUAGCUGCAAUAAAUUUUUCUCUUGGGAAAUAAAUGCCUUUGUGAGCCAUAGUGCUGUCCUGGGCUUAGCAUGGCUAUACGGUAUUCAUUUUACUUGUUAAACUUAAUUUUUGUCUGUUUGCAUUUUUUCUGGAUCUGGUAUUGUGACUUUAUGUAUCUAUAAGAACAUAUGGAAUCAUGUUGGCUGUUCGUUUUUUUUUGUUUUGGUAAAGCAACCCUUGCUGUUACAAGCAAGGGUUAUUUUUCUUGUUACUUUUUUCCCUUUUACAGAUGCCUGUGGCAAUAGAAAAAAAACCUUCCAUCUUCCCCCGAGUAUAUCCCGCUCUGAAACAUAGAAUGCAGUUAACAGCACAUGGUAAAUUAAUGUAAAUGUUUGCUUUGUGUGGCCUGUUUUUAAUUUCAAAUUUUGGAAAUGCCCUUGCUAUGUCCAUGCAUAGUUUAUUUUCAGAGUCUAAAUGGUAUUUGUGAGAUAUUCCCAUUUGUUAAUGGCAGAAGUUAGAAAAAUUCAGAACGGAAGACAUUAGUAUUCACAGAAAUGUCCCGAUAAGUUUGUAAAGGAAACUGAAUUUUUUAAAAAAAAUUCUUAUUUCUCAUUUUAUUAAUCUUGUCUAAUAACUUCAUUAAUCAUUCUUAAAUUUUAUCAGGUAACAAAAUGUAAAAUUGAGAAUAAGGAAUUGAAAGCUGAACAUAGUACCUACUAAAAUAAUGCAUUUGGAGAAAGGAAAUCUUAUCUUUGUAAAGAUGUGCAGAAUAUUCUACUCGUGAGAUUCUAAGAGAAGGCGAUGGUGCAUGACAUUUUGGAAGGUAGUAGCAGUCCGCCUGUCCUGUCCAUCGAACGAUAGUAGCAAGUCCGCCCUACGUCGAGUGAUAACAGUUUCGAAGAUAGUGGCAGUCCGCCUGUCCUGUCCAUCGAACGAUAGUAGCAAGCCCGCCCUGCGUCGAGUGAUAAUACAGUUUCGAAGGUAGUGGCAGUCCACCAGUCCUGUCCAUCGAACGAUAGUAGCAAGUCCGCCCUGCGUCGAGUGAUAAGACAAUUUCGAAGGUAGUGGCAGUCCGCCUGUCCUGUCCAUCAAACGAUAGUAGCAAGUCCGCUCUACGGCGAGUGAUAAGACAGUUUCGUUCAUCGAAUACAUCCUUCAGUCUUCGCUGUUAUCUAUGAAUAGGGAGUAUAGAGUAUUUUUCAUUCUUUUCAUUUUAUUUUGUAGCUGUUUUGAUUGUAAAUUUAAUUGCAAUCUAUUUUUUCAACUUAUAUAUUGUAAAUUUUAGCUCCAUUUAAUUGCACUUUCAUGCUUAAAUGGAAAAACAGCUUUAAAACAUUCAUUUGUUCCAAUUUUCUGAGCUGUUUAUAAAAUUUCGUAGAAUUUUUGCUGUAAGCAGUUAUUUAAUAUAUUAAAAAUUCUGAAAUAGUAUUGUGACCAUGCCUAGAUAUGUCCAUAUCUAAAAAAAUUUAGCAACAAGCUGUGUGGUAAAGCAAGGACUUUUUGUGUUUGUGCAAAAACUUUUGUGUCGUACUAUAAAUUUAUACCAGGUUUUUGUAAUAUUCUUAAAGGUUGUUCCUCUGCAUGAAUAUUGUUGAGAAAUAGAUAUGUAAAAUGCCAAUUGUGCUUGAACCGAUGCCAGAAUGAAGUAAUGAAUGCACUGCAGAUUCCUACUUGGCUGUGGCUGUUGCACUUAAACAUGCAAACGAGGAGAAUUUUAACCGUGGAAAAAAUCCAGUAGCUGUCCUGUUAAGUUCUGCACAAUUUGUAUAAGUAUUGGUAUCUUAUUUAAUCAAAACUUGCUAAUGCUGAAAUUGAAUUUAAUUCCUUUGGAUUGUUGAUUUGGAUUAAUUUUGUCAAUAAAUUAAUUAUGAAUGUAAAUUAAGUAUAAUUCUGAAUUUUUGAAUAAGUUUUGUUGCUAUGAACUGGAAUUCAAUUGUUUAAAAUUGUUUAAUAUUUUUUAGUUUUCUAAAUUAUUUUUGAUUUGUAAAUGAUUUUUGUAAGAUCAGACCAUUUGAUUUGAUUUAAUAUCAAACGUUACUGAAUGAGAAAUGAUCCCAUUUAAUCCCCUUAUUGUUAAGAAUUAGUUAUUUACUUUGAAAAUUUAAUUGCAGCUGUAUAAUUUUUCAACUAUAGACUAAAGUCAAAAUUUUGGAGCAUAUCAUGGGUUUUGAAAUGAUUUCUCCUCAUUCGGAACACCAAAACCAUGUGCUGUUACAGAUUUGUGGCUACAGUCAACUACCUUAUAAUCCAUCAUCAUGCGUUUUGAAUAAUCCAUCUUCAUGCGUUUUGAGUAUUCCAUCAUCGUGCGUUUAGAAGUUAACCGCCUCAUUAUUGUGAGGGUCAAACUUGCUUUUCAGUGUUCCAAGUAACUUCAUUUUGUGUAUUAAAAUGUGACUUAGUGUGUGUGAUCUACAUUAAAGAAAUGUGAUAUUUUUCAUUGGGAUGUGAAAGGAAUCAAACGCUCUUGUAAAAAAUAAAUGUUUUUAAAUAUUGUGGAAUCGUUUAUAUUACCAAAAUUUUCCGGAAACUUGUGUAAAACAUGUGAAUAAUAAAAUAGUUGAAAUAUUUUAA